rnacentral:rRNA from 1 species
UACAGAGGUCCCAAGCGUUGUUCGGAUUCACUGGGCGUAAAGGGUGCGUAGGUGGCCAGGUAAGUUUGGUGUGAAAGCUCGGAGCUUAACUCCGAAAAGUCAUUGAAUACUAUCUGGCUGGAGGGUCGGAGGGGAGACUGGAAUUCUCGGUGUAGCAGUGAAAUGCGUAGAUAUCGAGAGGAACACCAGUGGCGAAGGCGAGUCUCGGGACGACUCCUGACACUGAGGCACGAAAGCUAGGGGAGCAAACAGG